GGACAGGACAGAGGAAAGAACUAGG
rnacentral:piRNA from 1 species